GCGGUUGUAGUAUAACCUGGUUAGUAUCUGAGCUUCCCAAGCUCGAGGUCCGGGUUCAAAUCCCGGCAGCCGCA
rnacentral:tRNA from 1 species